CCUACAGGCGGCAGCAGUGGGGAAUAUUGGACAAUGGGCGAAAGCCUGAUCCAGCCAUGCCGCGUGUGUGAAGAAGGCCUUCGGGUUGUAAAGCACUUUCAGUGGGGAAGAAAGCCUUGGGGCUAAUACCCUCGAGGAAGGACAUCACCCACAGAAGAAGCACCGGCUAACUCCGUGCCAGCAGCCGCGGUAAUACGGAGGGUGCGAGCGUUAAUCGGAAUUACUGGGCGUAAAGCGCGCGUAGGCGGUCUGAUAAGCCGGUUGUGAAAGCCCCGGGCUCAACCUGGGAACGGCAUCCGGAACUGUCAGGCUAGAGUGCAGGAGAGGAAGGUAGAAUUCCCGGUGUAGCGGUGAAAUGCGUAGAGAUCGGGAGGAAUACCAGUGGCGAAGGCGGCCUUCUGGACUGACACUGACGCUGAGGUGCGAAAGCGUGGGUAGCAAACAGGAUUAGAUACCCUUGUAGUC
rnacentral:rRNA from 1 species